CACGGGGGGCAUUGUGUCAUAUCGCUGGGUCCCACACAUACGUUAUGUGACUCUCCUGCCUGUGCCCUGUGCAUGUGGGUCAUUGUGACAUAUUGCUGGGUCCAACACCCAGGUGAUAUAACUCUACUGCCUAGGCCCUGCCUACAGAGGACAUUGUGUCAUAUACCUGCACCCAUCACACAGGUUCUGCUUGCAGGGGAUAUUGUGACAUGUCAGUGAGCCUAAUACUAAGAUGUUGCCCAAAAAGAGAUUGUGACAUAACUUUGGGCCCAGCACCGAGGUGAUGUCUCCCCUCUCCUGCCUGGGGCUUGCCCACCGAAGAGAGAGUGACUUAUUGAUGAGUUCAGCACACAGGGAUUGUGUCAUAUCACUCUGUCAAGAACCUAGAUGAGGUGACUCUCCUCUCCAGCCUGGGACCUACAUACGUUGUGUAUUGAGACA
rnacentral:lncRNA from 1 species